GAUGAAGAACGUAGCGAAAUGCGAUAAUUAAUGUGAAUUGCAGAAUUCAGUGAAUCAUCGAGUCUUUGAACGCACAUUGCGCCCCCUGGUAUUCCGGGGGGCAUGCCUGUCCGAGCGUCAUUGCCGCCCUCAAGCCCGGCUUGUGUGUUGGGCCUCGUCCCCCCUCCGGGGGACGGGCCCGAAAGGCAGCGGCGGCACCGUGUCCGGUCCUCGAGCGUAUGGGGCUUUGUCACCCGCUCUGUAGGCCCGGCCGGCGCCUUAGCCGACGACACAAUCUUUUUUUUCAGGUUGACCUCGGAUCAGGUAGGGAUACCCGCUGAACUUAAGCAUAUCAAUAAGCGGAGGA
rnacentral:misc_RNA from 1 species